AUUGAACGCUGGCGGCAGGCCUAACACAUGCAAGUCGAGCGAGUGGCGGACGGGUGAGUAAUGUCUGGGCAACUGCCCGAUGGAGGGGGAUAACUACUGGAAACGGUAGCUAAUACCGCAUACUAUCGGAUGUGCCCAGAUGGGAUUAGCUAGUAGGUGGGGUAAAGGCUCACCAAGGCGACGAUCCCUAGCUGGUCUGAGAGGAUGACCAGCCACACUGGAACUGAGACACGGUGCAGACGCAUACGGGAGGCAGCAGUGGGGAAUAUUGCACAAUGGGGGCAAGCCUGAUGCAGCCAUGCCGCGUGUAUGAAGAAGGCCUUCGGGUUGUAAAGUACUUUCAGCGGGGAGGCGUUACCCGCAGAAGAAGCACCGGCUAACUCCGUGCCAGCAGCCGCGGUAAUUC
rnacentral:rRNA from 1 species